AACGAACGCUGGCGGCAUGCCUAACACAUGCAAGUCGAACGAGACCUCCGGGUCUAUUUGCGCACGUCUGCGUAACGCGUGGUAACCUGCCCUUAGGUUCGCUAUAACUCCCCGAAAGGUGUGCUAAUACCGGUUAAUGUCUUCCGACCAAAGAUUUAUCGCAUCUGGAUGGGCCCUCGUUGGAUUAGCUGGUUGGUAGGGUAAAAGCCUACCAUGGCGACGAGCCAUAGCUGGUCUGAGAGGAUGAACAGCGAGACUGGGACUGGGACACGGCCCAGACGCGAAGGGGAGGCAGGAGAGGGGAAAAAAGGAGAAGGGGCGAAGGCCAGAUACAGCGAGGGCGGGAGAGUGAUGAAGGGGUUAGGGUUGGAAAGCGCUUUUACCCGGGAUGAUAAGGAGAGAACCGGGAGAAUAAGCCCCGGCUAAUUCGGG
rnacentral:rRNA from 1 species